UGGGGAAUUUUCCGCAAUGGGCGAAAGCCUGACGGAGCAACGCCGCGUGAGGGAUGAAGGCCUCUGGGCUGUAAACCUCUUUUCUCAAGGAAGAAGAUCUGACGGUACCUGCAGAAGAAGCUCCGGCCAACUACGUGCCAGCAGCCGCGGUAACACGUAGGGAGCAAGCGUUGUCCGGAAUUAUUGGGCGUAAAGAGCUCGUAGGCGGUUCAGUAAGUCAGGUGUGAAAACUCGAGGCUCAACCUCGAGAGGCCACCUGAUACUGCUGUGACUGGAGUCCGGUAGAGGAGUGUGGAAUUCCUGGUGUAGCGGUGAAAUGCGCAGAUAUCAGGAGGAACACCGACAGCGAAGGCAGCACUCUGGGCCGGUACUGACGCUGAGGAGCGAAAGCGUGGGGAGCGAACAGG
rnacentral:rRNA from 1 species